AAACCGAGCUUCGUCUGCAAUUUUGCCGUAUUUUUUGCUAAACAGCUGAAUAAAUUGUAUUCCAAAAAGACCGAAUAUAAAUUUCUUGUGGCUUAAAGUGGCCCAUAAUGACAAAUAAUACUGCCGCUAAUAAUACUUACUUUGGGACCAGCACAAAGUGAGUCUUAUAACCGAAUGAACCAUAUAGACGAAGUGGUGUAAAGAAUAUAAUACAUUUGGAUAUGUCCAGACCGUUCCAAGUGAUUUUGAGUCUUAUAAGCGACUGAAUCUUUUAUCCGUGAGUUUUAUAAGCAUCGUUCACUGGUAUAUAUUUUAAACGUAGCAAAAAAAACACAAAAAGUUUGGAUCGUUG